rnacentral:rRNA from 1 species
GGUCCAGACUUUGAUUAUGGCUCAGGAUGAACGCUAGCUACAGGCUUAACACAUGCAAGUCGAGGGGCAGCGGUAUCGGAAGCUUGCUUUCGGUAGCCGGCGACCGGCGCACGGGUGAGUAACGCGUAUCGAACCUGCCUCAUACUCGGGAAUAGCCUUGCGAAAGUAAGAUUAAUGCCCGGUGUUUUCAGAGUCCCGCAUGAGGCUUUGAACAAAGAUUUAUCGGUAUGAGAUGGCGAUGCGUCCCAUUAGCUUGUUGGCGGGGUAACGGCCCACCAAGGCAUCGAUGGGUAGGGGUUCUGAGAGGAAGGUCCCCCACAUUGGAACUGAGACACGGUCCAAACUCCUACGGGAGGCAGCAGUGAGGAAUAUUGGUCAAUGGGCGGAAGCCUGAACCAGCCAAGUAGCGUGCAGGAAGACGGCCCUCCGGGUUGUAAACUGCUUUUAGUUGGGAAUAAAACGGGGCUCGUGAGCCCCCUUGCAUGUACCAUCAGAAAAAGGACCGGCUAAUUCCGUGCCAGCGGCCGCGGUAAUACGGAAGGUCCGGGCGUUAUCCGGAUUUAUUGGGUUUAAAGGGAGCGCAGGCGGACCUUUAAGUCAGCUGUGAAAUACGGCGGCUCAACCGUCGAACUGCAGUUGAUACUGGAGGUCUUGAGUGCACACAGGGAUGCUGGAAUUCAUGGUGUAGCGGUGAAAUGCUCAGAUAUCAUGAAGAACUCCGAUCGCGAAGGCAGGCAUCCGGGGUGCAACUGACGCUGAGGCUCGAAAGUGCGGGUAUCAAACAGGAUUAGAUACCCUGGUAGUCCGCACAGUAAACGAUGAAUACUCGCGGUUUGCGAUACAGUGUAAGCCGCCAAGCGAAAGCGUUAAGUAUUCCACCUGGGGAGUACGCCGGCAACGGUGCAACUCAAAGGAAUUGACGG